rnacentral:rRNA from 1 species
GACGUAGGAGGCGAGCGUUGUCCGGAUUCAUUGGGCGUAAAGAGCGCGCAGGCGGCUUGGUAAGUCGGAUGUGAAAACCCGAGGCUCAACCUCGGGCGUGCAUCCGAUACUGCUCGGCUAGAGGUAGGUAGGGGAGAUCGGAAUUCCUGGUGUAGCGGUGAAAUGCGCAGAUAUCAGGAGGAACACCGGUGGCGAAGGCGGAUCUCUGGGCCGAUACUGACGCUGAGGAGCGAAAGCUAGGGGAGCAAACGGG